UUUUUUUUGUUGGAAUUAGGUUUUCAGACACACUUACUAGUUAUCAUUCUCAGCCUCCACUCGUCUUCUCGCGCCGCCGCUUCCGCCGGACAUCGUUGCCAUUUGCGUUGUCAUUACCGCCUUUUUCUUCACAAUAUUCCAAAAAUCAAAACAGCCGGCAGCCACUGCUUCAACAGCGUCGCCGCCGUCGUGGGCUCGUUUCACUGUUGCCACACCUUAAGCCAUAUCUCGACGCGCCGUCACGGUUGGUUUCCCUCUCACCCAGGCUUAUUGCUGGCUCAUCACUGGUCAGUUCAGGAUUGACGAUGGAAGCGAUAGUGAAAAAAUUUCAGUCAAAAUUCAGGAAAGUUAGGGAAGAAAUGAGUCGAUGGGAUGAGCUUCAAUCUUGCUUAAUUUCACAGUUUAGGAAUGCUUCUCAUAUUGUUGAUAGGUUGCAGGUGCUUCAAAAUUCCAACAAUUAUGGUGUUCUAAAUUGUGCCAGUGGCCUGAAAGAUGCUCUUUUGGUAAAGCAGAUUGAAUCUUUGAGGAACAUCUUGGUUUCCAUGAGAAAGACAUUGGAAGAAUUUCAUUGUAUUGUCUUAUCUCUUGACAAAAUUCACCGUGAUAGUAGACAACAAGUGAAAGGUGGUUCUUGUCACCUGAACAUGAAACAAUUGCAGCAACAAAUUGGCAUCAAACCUAGUCUUAUUUAUUGCUUGGAUAGCCUGAUGUUUAUACACGAGAUAUACAACUCUGAGUAUUUAUUAAAGUCAUCAGUGAUCUCAGCACUAUCAGAAAUUGCCUUAAAGCCCAGAUGUGCUUGUGUGUAUUUUGUUCGUUUGACUCUAUAUGUAUGUGAUAAAGUAAAAGAGAGGGUGCUAUAUGGAGCCGCAGGAGCCUGUAGAAGAAUUUUGUUAUCACCAUUCAAACCCGCCGGUCUUCUCUUAAUCAAACUUAUCUUUAAACAUAAACAGUCUUCAUGACUUAGUAUUAUCAGAAGUAAAACAUUCACAAGGGGAUCAUUAUACUCCUCCAAGAAGAGAUCUGAAUCAUCAGUGAAGUGAAGUGACAGUGAUCUUGGUGCACUUCAGCAACUCUUGGUUGAUCAACCCAAUCUCCAAACUGAGGAAGGUAUGCUAGAAUUAUGUGUGGGGUAGAAUGUAUAAUGCAUGUCCACAUCAUUAAUAAUUUCAUGUUAUGCUUAUGAUAAUCAUUAAGAAUGCUUAAUUUUGAAUUAGACCUUUGUAUGCUUCUGUGACCUCCUAUAUGAUCCUUAGAUCACUAUUGUUGUAUUGUUAACUUUUUGAAUUUGAAGUUCACAUUUACUUUGAUGUUAAUGAAUAGAAUCUACAAUUAUACAUGGUCUUUACUUGAGAGAAAUAUAUAGAUACUCUAGUACAAUAAAGCAAUUUUAAGAUAUGUUGGCGUUGGUGUUGUUUAAUGAUAGGACCCAAAGAUAACUAAGGUGUAGGUAAGAAGAAAGAAAAAUUUGGGUAUUCCUUGGCUGAAAGCCAGAGAUUAGUCCCUUGAAAUAUUGAGAUCCAUUUGGGGGAGAGUUUGGGCACCUCUCAAAUUACUUAGAGUUGGUUUCCUGUUUUUUUUCUUUCUUUGUAGUUCCUGCGUAUUUCAGAAAGACAGGACCUGAUAUCACCUUGAUGCAGAGCCGACUUUGUCUUAAUAAUAUUGUACCUUGGAGUUCUGCCCUUUUUUAUUCCUUUCUUUCUGGGGUAACUAUCAUUUAAUCUGUUUGUGGCAAACACAUGAUACGAUGAUAGUAUGAAAAAGUUUUUACAGUAAUCAUUGCUGGUUAAACACAUGUUAAUGUCAUUUCUUGCUGUAUGACUUUUGGCCGUAGUUCAAUUUGUAUUUGAUGUGAUAUUUGCUGAAGAACUGAGUUGAUGAUCCUCUCUACUAUGGAUGUUGACUUGGGACCAGGGGAUGCCUGAACUUUUAUACAUCAAGGGAGCCUUUUGAUCUCCCAGGGACGAUUGUUGAUGCAGAAUGAGUUAAGAUAAUUGUUGUUAUUUAAGGACUUUUACUUUAUUUUAGAAAUUUUAUCUUUAUUAAAUGAUUUUUGUAAGUAAUAGAUUGUCAUAUUUGGACUUACAAUUUGUUCUGAAUUGAUUAGGAUUUUAUAUUAUAGAAAACUAAUAUAUCAUUAGGAUUUGGGUUAAACAUGCACGUUUCCAAAUAUAAGGAACCGUAAGGAGACAGUUUCUUUAGGGACUAAAAGUGAGUAUUUGUACAUUUAGAGGAAAUAAAAAUAUAGUUAAUCCUUGAAAAU